UAUAAAAUAGUUCGGCGAGCUCUGCUCGUGUUUGACGAUAUUGUGAAGAAAUAGGUUAACCAACAAGUUUCGUCGGGACAACGGUGCUUCGAACUACGUUUGCGGAUCUAGAUAAAGUAGAACCCGUUCUCAGCGUGUUCGAUAAGCUGAUCGGCCCGAAUCGUGGACGCCAUAAGACGACCUUUUUUUUUUAAAAUAAGCUACUGUAUACGAAGACACGAAGUGGCAUGAAUAUUUAUUUUUUCUCAAAAAAAAAGAAAAUAAAAGAAAAAUUAGAUAUGCUAUUGAAA